UGGCAGGCGGAUCCCUGGCCCUCGCUUGUGUUCGCAUGUCAGGGCACAAGUCGAGCUGUCAGUGAGCAGUGGUAUUUACUUAUUAAUGCGGCACUGAAAAGCCACCCAGUGUUGGCACUUAGCCCUGCCCCUCCCAGUCCAGUGGCGAAAAGAAACCCGGCUGCCCAGAAUGAGGCGACUAAAGUGACCCGCUGGAUGGAGCUCCUGUGAAAGACCCUAAAAUCUACAGCUUUUGUUUGCAGUGUUCUAAAGGUUUACUGACGGCAGAGCAUUUUGACAAACAAGAACUCCAGAAGAUUACUUGUGCAUGUAAAUGGAGAUUUUUAAGAAACCAAGUAUCUGCCUUAACUGGUUAUGUGUGGACAUGUAAACACACUCAUUGACUGUGUCGUCGUAAUGACCAUUCUCGAGAAAUCCUGCAUGGUUCCAGUGCCUCCGAUGAUGUCACUUCUGGUGUUGGCAAAUAAAGACGCCAUCUUUACUGUCAAGAAUCUAUUCUGUUUUGGACACUGAACUGUAAAGACUUGGUCAAAAACUUAACCUUUUACAGCCAGGAAAUAAAAUACGGGUGU